rnacentral:rRNA from 1 species
GAGUUUGAUCUUGGCUCAGAUUGAACGCUGGCGGCAGGCCUAACACAUGCAAGUCGAGCGGACGAAGGGAGCUUGCUCCUGGAUUCAGCGGCGGACGGGUGAGUAAUGCCUAGGAAUCUGCCUGGUAGUGGGGGAUAACGUCCGGAAACGGGCGCUAAUACCGCAUACGUCCUGAGGGAGAAAGUGGGGGAUCUUCGGACCUCACGCUAUCAGAUGAGCCUAGGUCGGAUUAGCUAGUUGGUGGGGUAAAGGCCUACCAAGGCGACGAUCUGUAACUGGUCUGAGAGGAUGAUCAGUCACACUGGAACUGAGACACGGUCCAGACUCCUACGGGAGGCAGCAGUGGGGAAUAUUGGACAAUGGGCGAAAGCCUGAUCCAGCCAUGCCGCGUGUGCGAAGAAGGUCUUCGGAUUGUAAAGCACUUUAAGUUGGGAGGAAGGGCAGUAAGUUAAUACCUUGCUGUUUUGACGUUACCAACAGAAUAAGCACCGGCUAACUUCGUGCCAGCCGCCGC